AGCGAACGCUGGCGGCAUGCCUAACACAUGCAAGUCGCACGGGGGGGCUUCGGCCUCCCAGUGGCGGACGGGGGAGGAACGCGUAGGGACCGGUCGAGGGGGGGGGGAUAACCGCGGGAAACGGCGGCGAAUACCGCAUGACGCCGCGGCGUGACAGGCGGGGCCAAAGGCGAAAGCCGCCCGACGAGGGGCGUGCGUCCGAUUAGGUGGAUGGCGGGGUAGCUGGCCACCAAGGCGUCGACCGGUAGCUGGUCUGAGAGGGUGAUCCGCCACCCCGGGAGUAGGACGCAGCCCGGACUCCUGCGGGAGGCAGCAGUGGGGGAUAUUGGACUAUGGGCGCAAGCCUGAUCCAGCAAUGCCGCGUGAGUGAAGAAGGUCUUAGGAUUGUAAAGCCCUUUCGGCGGGGACGAUUGUGACGGUACCCGCAGAAGAAGCCCCGGCUAACUUCGUG
rnacentral:rRNA from 1 species